UAAGGAGACUGCCGGUGACAAACCGGAGGAAGGUGGGGAUGACGUCAAGUCAUCAUGGCCCUUACGGCCUGGGCUACACACGUGCUACAAUGGUCGGUACAGAGGGUUGCCAAGCCGCGAGGUGGAGCUAAUCCCACAAAACCGAUCGUAGUCCGGAUCGCAGUCUGCAACUCGACUGCGUGAAGUGGGAAUCGCUAGUAAUCGCGAAUCAGAAUGUCGCGGUGAAUACGUUCCCGGGCCUUGUACACACCGCCCGUCACACCAUGGGAGUGGGUUGCACCAGAAGUAG
rnacentral:rRNA from 1 species